rnacentral:rRNA from 1 species
UAAGGAAUAUUGGUCAAUGGGCGGAAGCCUGAACCAGCCAUGCCGCGUGCAGGAAGACUGCCCUACGGGUUGUAAACUGCUUUUGUACCGGAAUAAACCUUGAUUCGUGAAUCAAGCUGAAUGUACGGUAAGAAUAAGGAUCGGCUAACUCCGUGCCAG